rnacentral:rRNA from 1 species
AGAGUUUGAUCCUGGCUCAGGAUGAACGCUAGCUACAGGCUUAACACAUGCAAGUCGAGGGGCAGCAUGAUUGAAGCUUGCUUCAAUUGAUGGCGACCGGCGCACGGGUGAGUAACGCGUAUCCAACCUUCCGUACACUCAGGGAUAGCCUUUCGAAAGAAAGAUUAAUACCUGAUGGUAUGAUGAGAUUGCAUGAUAGCAUCAUUAAAGAUUUAUCGGUGUACGAUGGGGAUGCGUUCCAUCAGGUAGUAGGCGGGGUAACGGCCCACCUAGCCUACGAUGGAUAGGGGUUCUGAGAGGACGGUACCCCCACAUUGGAACUGAGACGACGGUCCAAACUCCUACGGGAGGCA